rnacentral:rRNA from 1 species
UACGAAGGGUGCUAGCGUUGCUCGGAAUCACUGGGCGUAAAGGGUGCGUAGGCGGGCAUUUAAGUCGGGGGUGAAAUCCUGGAGCUCAACUCCAGAACUGCCUUUGAUACUGAGUAUCUUGAGUACGGGAGAGGUGAGUGGAACUGCGAGUGUAGAGGUGAAAUUCGUAGAUAUUCGCAAGAACACCAGUGGCGAAGGCGGGUCUCUGGACAGUUACUGACGCUGAGGCACGAAGGCCAGGGGAGCAAACGGG